ACUGCUCAGUAACACGUGGAUAACCUGCCCUUGGGUCCGGCAUAACCCCGGGAAACUGGGGAUAAUUCCGGAUAACGCACAUAUGCUGGAAUGCUUUCUGCGUAAAAUGGAUUCGUCUGCCCAAGGAUGGGUCUGCGGCCUAUCAGGUAGUAGUGGGUGUAAUGUACCUACUAGCCUACGACGGGUACGGGUUGUGAGAGCAAGAGCCCGGAGAUGGAUUCUGAGACAUGAAUCCAGGCCCUACGGGGCGCAGCAGGCGCGAAAACUUUACAAUGCGGGAAACCGUGAUAAGGGGACACCGAGUGCCAGCAUCCUAUGCUGGCUGUCCGGGUGUGUAAAAUACACCUGUUAGCAAGGGCCGGGCAAGACCGGUGCCAGCCGCCGCGGUAACACCGGCGGCCCGAGUGGUGAUCGUGAUUAUUGGGUCUAAAGGGUCCGUAGCCGGUUUGGUCAGUCCUCCGGGAAAUCUGACAGCUCAACUGUUAGGCUUUCGGAGGAUACUGCCAGACUUGGAACCGGGAGAGGUAAGAGGUACUACAGGGGUAGGAGUGAAAUCUUGUAAUCCCUGUGGGACCACCUGUGGCGAAGGCGUCUUACCAGAACGGGUUCGACGGUGAGGGACGAAAGCUGGGGGCACGAACCGGAUUAGAUACCCGGGUAGUCCCAGCCGUAAACGAUGCUCGCUAGGUGUCAGGCAUGGCGCGACCGUGUCUGGUGCCGCAGGGAAGCCGUGAAGCGAGCCACCUGGGAAGUACGGCCGCAAGGCUGAAACUUAAAGGAAUUGGCGGGGGAGCAC
rnacentral:rRNA from 1 species